UACAUGUGGGGCAAGCGUUGUUCGGAAUUACUGGGCGUAAAGCGAGUGUAGGCGGUCUGCUAAGUCGGGUGUGAAAGCCCCGGGCUCAACCCGGGAAGUGCACUCGAAACUGGCAGGCUAGAGUAUCGGAGAGGUUGGUGGAAUUCUCGGUGUAGAGGUGAAAUUCGUAGAUAUCAAGCAGAACACCUGUGGCGAAGGCGGCCUUCUGGACGAUGACUGACGCUGAGACGCGAAAGCGUGGGGAGCAAACAGG
rnacentral:rRNA from 1 species